rnacentral:rRNA from 1 species
AGUGAACGCUGGCGGUAGGCCUAACACAUGCAAGUCGAACGGCAGCACAGUAAGAGCUUGCUCUUACGGGUGGCGAGUGGCGGACGGGUGAGGAAUACAUCGGAAUCUACUUUUUCGUGGGGGAUAACGUAGGGAAACUUACGCUAAUACCGCAUACGACUUACGGGUGAAAGCAGGGGAUUUUCGGACCUUGCGCGAUUGAAUGAGCCGAUGUCGGAUUAGCUAGUUGGCGGGGUAAAGGCCCACCAAGGCGACGAUCCGUAGCUGGUCUGAGAGGAUGAUCAGCCACACUGGAACUGAGACACGGUCCAGACUCCUACGGGAGGCAGCAGUGGGGAAUAUUGGACAAUGGGCGCAAGCCUGAUCCAGCCAUACCGCGUGGGUGAAGAAGGCCUUCGGGUUGUAAAGCCCUUUUGUUGGGAAAGAAAAGCAGCAGGUUAAUACCCCGCUGUUCUGACGGUACCCAAAGAAUAAGCACCGGCUAACUUCGUG